rnacentral:rRNA from 1 species
UGGGGAAUAUUGGACAAUGGGCGAAAGCCUGAUCCAGCAAUGCCGCGUGAGUGAUGAAGGCCUUAGGGUUGUAAAGCUCUUUUAGUAGGGAAGAUAAUGACGGUACCUACAGAAAAAGUCCCGGCUAACUCCGUGCCAGCAGCCGCGGUAAUACGGAGGGGGCUAGCGUUGUUCGGAAUCACUGGGCGUAAAGGGCGCGCAGGCGGCUUAACAAGUUGGAAGUGAAAUCCUAUGGCUUAACCAUAGAACUGCUUUCAAAACUGUUAGGCUAGAGUAUGGUAGAGGAUGGUGGAAUUCCUAGUGUAGAGGUGAAAUUCGUAGAUAUUAGGAGGAACACCGGUGGCGAAAGCGACCAUCUGGGCCAUUACUGACGCUGAGGCGCGAAAGCGUGGGGAGCAAA